GGCUGCCUCCUGCUGGGGAUGACUGCUGCCACCAAGGAGUGUCUGAUCCGCUCUAGCUGUCUCUCCCCGCGUGGCGUGGCCGACUACCGCUGUCCCUUUCCCAGACUGUCUGCUCGCUCGUUCUUUUUCCACGGCCGCCCGUUUCUAUGGCAACCGGAGGAGAAGUAGACAAGGCCGUGGCACCGUCAAGCAGGCAGCACACAGGCGGCUGGGAUCCUAGUGAGGUGGGGGAAUACCCACAGGGAGGUUCACUUUGCUUCCUUGCCUUGCUGGGAUCCCCUCCAAACACGGCGAUGUUCUGUUGGACCCAAAGAAGAGCUGCCUGCUGGUCCAAG